AUUUCUUCGGUGCUGAUUCACCUCUCUUCAUGUUGCUUUGAUAUUUUCUUUAGCUUCCUGAUUCCGUAACGUAUGAUAAACCCUAGACUCCAUUCUCUGUUCGCAGGAAUUCGCAAGGCUUUCUCCGUAUUAAUUUGGCCUGCAUCUCAAAAUUAAAAAAAAUAAAAAACACUCAUCCUUGCAUUAAUUGGAUCAGGUCUAUAAAAUGGCUAAUCCGGAUCGAAAUGAACAUCAGACCAGUCGAAAGUUUUAGGCCUAAAGAACAGACUAAAUGGCAUCUCAAAUCAAUAUCACACCACAGCAGGUACCAUCUUCAGCUACCCAAGACCAAUUGAAGAGUUUACGAUCCCUUGACGAAGGAAAAUCAAGUGGCGUUACUAUUCGUGUUACCAGGAAAUGGGAAGAAUUGGAUUUUAUGUCCACCAAUGGCGUUAUCAGCGUCGAUAUGGUUAUUGUCGAUGAGCAGGGUGACGAGUUACAUGCCAUCAUACCCAAAAAUCUUAUCUGGAAGUUUGAUAAGCAGAUUAGAGAGGGUGGUUUGUACACUAUCGAGAAAUUGCACUUGACUGCUGCAAAACCCAAGUUCAGGCUAAUUGAGACGGGAUGAUAGGCAAGUUGAGCACCAUUUUCAAUUCUUCCCAUAGCUUUUGCUUAUUGUGCAGGUAAUGGAUCUGUAUCCUCGAAUAAAGACUUUGAUAGGAAGAGUCACACAACAAUCUGCAGAUUUUGAGUGAUGCCUUGGGGUGUUAUAAAUGUCACAUGCUGUAUCAAGAAGGUUAGUCUCAAUUAUCCUCAUAUUUUGAAAUAUUUUAGGAAGCACAGAUUAAACUCCCUAUAUCUGAACCAGAAGAAUCAAUGACUUCGGUACGUCAGUAGAGUCACCUUUAAUGUAACAUUUUCUUACAACAGAAGUUAGGCAUGAAAUUCUAGCCAUGAUAUUGUUACUUUAAAUUAUACUAACCUAUAAAUGUUCCCUUCGGAUUUUGAAAUCAGUGUUCAGAAGAAUCAGUGCAUGUUUCACAAUCCAAGCAUGUUUAGAUAAGUCUACUGGUGUUAGAUGAUUAAUUAUUUUUUCUUUUACCAAAAAGUUGGGCAGUCGACCUAUGAUGCCUGACAUAAAUGGGUUCAUAAUCACUGAUCCUUCACAUAAAGUGGAUGGAAGACCCUUUAGUAAACUGGGUCUCAUUGAAACUAAAGUUCCAGGUUCGUGUUUCUAGCUUGAAAUGAAUGUUAAUUUUCAUAAGCUCCCUCACGUCUGUUAUUCGUGCAACAUACUUUUUUUCCCGCGAUAAUAUGUUUGAGGGAAUUUUCUCAUGAUUCUACGUGACCUCGAUGAAUCUUGCUGAAACAGUGAUUCAAUCCCCUGAAACACAAAAAAUUGACUUCUGUGGACCAUAAACAUCAAAGAACAAAGCAAAGUUGUAACAAUGGGAUCUUCCAACUGAUAGCCUUGAAAGCAUUUCAAUAUGCUCUCAAAAUCCACUAGACCCAGACGAAUUUGGAAGGCAAGGUCACAUGAUGUAUCUAUCCCCAACUGUUCCAAUAAAAUUUAAAUAUAUAUAGAUCAAAUUAUGUUCUAUGAACACGUUCGUUGAUACAGGGAGGGCAGUUACACGCCGUCAUACCUAAGAAUCUUAUUUGGAAGUUUGAUAAGCAUUUUCGAGUGAGUGGUUUGUACUCUUUGGAGAAACUACACUUAACUGCUACUACACCCAUGUUCCAGCCUGCGGACAGUGAGAAGAGGGGCUUCUUUCGGUGAAACACCUCCCUCACCAUGUGGAUGCUUAUUCCGUGUCCACUAUUCCCCACAGUUUGUGAUACACUGAGUUUAAAACCAUUGAAUUGAACCUUCAGAACAUAUAUCUUACAGGCAAUAUGAAAAGAGAUAUUACAUGUGUGUUGUUUCCAA